UGACAGCAACAUUGAAUUUAUCUUUGAAGCCUAUAGAAAAGAUAAUGACAGCAUACCCUGCGAUGUGCCUGUAAAAAAUAAAGGCCAAUACACUGUGGAGUGUCACGAUACCCAAUCUUGCACAUAUGAAGAAGAGGAUCAGAGCAUCACGGCUGCCCUGCAUGCAAUACAAAGAAAUAAAUAUGAGAAUUAUAAAUUGGCUUUCAUGCUAAGAGAAAUCAUAAAGCCUGAUCCCCCUCAAGAACUGGAUGUUCACAACAAAAAACAUCACAAACAUGCUUCCAUCCACUGGAAGUACCCAAAAACCUGGUGUAA